UUUUAAAUAAACUUAGCUGAAAAUGUGCUACAACUAGGCUUCGAAUCUGGGAUCUCGGGUACCACCCACCAAGCUCUUUGCCACUUGCCCUAGAGACGGUCGGUGCACACGAGUAAUUUCUUAUAUAUUGCUAUUUAAUUUUUUUUUUUUCAAAUUUAUCCUUUAUUUUCUAAAUGCCCUCUAAAUUUUCAAAUCUCCUCAAACCCUCAAGAGCAAAAGUAUAAUUUGAAAAAAGAAACUUUCGCUUUUUUAUCCUUGACUGUUAUUCAAAAUUUUUUAAAUUGAUCUAAAAAUUACCAAAAUAUUUUUCUAAAUCCCAAACCUAUUAGAAAAACCUAAGUAUUUGGAAAUAUUUGAAGGGGUUUUUGAAAAUCAAGUAUAUUAGAUAUUUUAAAAUUUUAAAGAGUAUAUUAGGUAUUAUCUUUUUUAAAAAAUAGCGUUUUUAGGAAUAAUUUGACAAUAAAAAAUAAUUUAAAAAAACAAGAAUAUAUAAUUGUGAAGUUUUGAAGGAUGCAGAAAUUUCUAUCGUGUACUGCAGGGAGUCAGAAAAAAUUCUGUAAUGCACCGGUAAUAUUAGUUACAUGGUAUUUUCAAUC
rnacentral:lncRNA from 1 species